GUAGUUUGGGGAUGACCAGCUUGUGGCUGAGGGCCCACGUACUGUUGAACUAAACUGCCUCUGUGUCACAUCAUCUGCUUCAUCCAGCAUGGGGCUUAGCCUCAGACUCCCUCAGGAAGGGAAGGACGUGCAUCCUGCCUGUCCUGUGCAUACGGUGUUCCUCUCCAUGGACUCUUUCCAAGGUGUUGGUCUCCAGAAUGCUCCUGGCUCUGCUCUUCUUGGAAGCAAUGGUGAGACAUCUGUCAGUGUGAGCCCAUAGAGGGAAGCUGAGGUCUGCUCCUGCUGCUAGGAUCCAGUACCUCUUCCUGUAAGAAUGUGUUGCUUGGAUGUGAAGAGAUGCUAUCGAUCUUACAAUGGAGGUUGCAGAUGAAGGAGAAAAGGUUGGAAUUAAGCCGACAGCACUCAGCUGCUGUAAGCCGGACAUUGCAGAAUGGUGGCUUGCAUGAAGCCAGAGGCCAGGCUCUACGGUCUGGAGCCUCACAGGGAGUCCUCCAAGUGAAGGAUGAGCCCUGAGCUGCAAGAGAGAUCUACUCCCACUAAACCAACCUCCCGAGGGGACUUACUUCGUUUGACUGGCUCCGUCAUCCUCAGGAGGAAACUUUCCUCUGCAAGAUGGUGAAAUAGUGCCCAUGUGGAAACGUUCUGACUGCAUGCGCCUGGAGUCCGGCAUUGUUGCAGAGGAGGAGAGCGGCAUAGGAUGGCUCCAAAGAAAAGAGGUCUGCAUCAGAAGGAAAACCUCCUGCCAUGCCAGCUUGCCCAGACCUAAUGGUGAGACGGCCUUUCCCAGCUACACUAAGGGCUGCUUCUUGUGGACUGGAAGUAUUGCCAUAGCAUUUCUGUGUUCCUACACCUUUUCUCUUUGCGGCAUCACUUAUGGACAUGUAAGUAGUAGGUUAGUUUCUAUUCUCACUCUGGGGGGUUGGGUUCCAAACUGUUUAUUGAGUAAUAAAAAGAGAAAAUGGCGAGUCAUUGCCCAGGGAUAAUGUGCUAAUAAUUUUAUGACUGGACAAAUGGUUGCAACAGCCCACAAAUGGCUGUAGGCAGGAAACCUGGUGUCUAUUGCUGACAGAGCCACCCCCAAGGAGAUAAAACCUCACUUUUGGUGAUCAAAGUUGAUGCAACAACUGUGAUCUAUUAAAAAUUACUUUG
rnacentral:lncRNA from 7 species